rnacentral:misc_RNA from 1 species
UUCAUGAUGAAGAGAAAUUUGACCCCAUUCAAUUCAAGGAAAAGGAUACUGAGUUGUUAGUGACAUGUUUGGCAAACCCAUUUCCUGCUAGGGUCAUGCCUUUUGCAAUGUUAAACAAAGAGCGGCUUCCUCUUUUGCUUGACUGUGCAAGAAGGUGUAGAGAAGUUAAGGGUAUUAUGGUAAAUUCGUUUUUGGAGUUGGAAUCCCAUGCUAUAGAAUCUUUUAAAACGCUUCCCCUGUACCCCGUGGGACCCAUUUUGAAUGUGGAGUCGAAUGGAAGAAACACGCACCAGCAAAUCAUGCAAUGGCUUGAUGAUCAGCCUGUUGCCUCGGUAGUGUUUUUAUGCUUUGGGAGUAUGGGAAGUUUUGCCAAGGAUCAAUUGAAAGAGAUUGCAUGUGCGUUAGAGAACAGCGGGAAUCGAUUCUUGUGGUCCGUGCGCCGACCACCACCUCCGGGUAAACUAGCAUCUCCUAGUGACUAUGAGAAUCCGCAGGAGGUAUUGCCAGAAGGAUUUUCGGAACGGACUGCUGCGAUUGGAAAGGUAAUAGGAUGGGCUCCACAAGCUGCAAUCUUAGCUCAUCCAGCGGUAGGAGGAUUUGUAUCGCACUGUGGGUGGAAUUCUGUGCUGGAGAG